rnacentral:rRNA from 1 species
CGCUAUCACUCCUACGGGAGGCAGCAGUGGGGAAUAUUGCACAAUGGGCGCAAGCCUGAUGCAGCCAUGCCGCGUGUAUGAAGAAGGCCUUCGGGUUGUAAAGUACUUUCAGCAGUGAGGAAGGCGGGUACGUUAAUAGCGUGCUUGUUUGACGUUACCUACAGAAGAAGCACCGGCUAACUCCGUGCCAGCAGCCGCGGUAAUACGGAGGGUGCGAGCGUUAAUCGGAAUUACUGGGCGUAAAGCGCAUGCAGGCGGCCUGUUAAGUCAGAUGUGAAAGCCCGGGGCUUAACCUCGGAAUUGCAUUUGAAACUGGCAGGCUAGAGUCUUGUAGAGGGGGUAGAAUUUCAGGUGUAGCGGUGAAAUGCGUAGAGAUCUGAAGGAAUACCAGUGGCGAAGGCGGCCCCCUGGACAAAGACUGACGCUCAGAUGCGAAAGCGUGGGGAGCAAACAGGAUUAGAUACCCUGGUAG